GGCUGGGACAGUGACUCUCCGAGGAACUUACAGUGUCCUAAGGCGAAUGCUGCUUGGAGAGGCAGGCGGGAGGCCUGUGUGAAGGAGGAAGAGAUUGGCAUCCAGACACAAUAAGCAAGGCAGGCGAGGCAACUGGGCGCCCCAGCCUUGGCCCCAAGGAGGACCAGGACCUGCCAGAUCUCCUAGCCAACUCUGGGAGAGUCCUCCUUUUAUACCAUUGCACCCAUGGGUGCCACAGACUGCUGGCUCACAGCUCACCAGCUCUGGGAUAUUCCCCUGUGCCAUGGCUUGCUGGCGCCAAGAAGGGAAACAGGGUGGAGUUGUGCUGUCCUAUUUGUGAAGACUCCUGAAGACCUUCCCCACCCGGGAACCUUGGCUUGCUCCUGCGGGUGAAACCUCGACAGCUCUGGGCGUCUGUUUGGGUCCACGGCUUGGAGCACCACGUCUCUUCUCAUCAGCAGCUCUUCAGGAUCAGGCCUGGCCAGACCCGCACCAGAGCUGAGCAAUCAACAUGGGGGUCCCAUGUGGUCGACAGGGACCCAGCUUGGAGUCAUCCCAGCACGCACGGGUAAGAAAGUGGAAUCAGAAAUGAAUCCAGGACUCGAACCCAAGCAUACUAAGCGAUAUCUGAACAGGUAUGUCUGUUUCUAAUUUCUUUUGUUUUAAAUUACCUUUAAAGGCAGCGAGAGAAACAGAAAACGAGAUUCCUCCUCUUUCUGCUGGUUCGUGUUAGGUUUGGAAUUGCUUGUAUGAGAGGAGAGCCUAACAGGCCAUGACCGCGCGAGGCAGAGACCCCUUGGCUAUAUGACACUCGGAUUUUUAAACACAUGGGAGUGGGGGCUGCAGUAGGGCAGCAGGGGUGGCCCCUGCACCUGAUUGGGCAGUGGCAUCAGCUCUGACAGGCUGGGUUCAGGCUAGGGAGCGCUGGUUGAGAUAAGGCAGUAACCCUGGCUCGGCGUGGAGUCAACUCUGCUUAGGCUAACGUUGCAUUCUACUCCACCUAACCUUCCAGCCUUUUGUUUUCUGUUAUGUGGUGGGCAUCCUGGUCUCUGGCUGCUUUGAGCUGAGCUGUAAAGAGCGUUGCAAGGGGAGUUUGGUACGUUAGUGGACAGCGUCUUAAGACCUUGAUCAGUGAGGGCCUUGACUCAGUUCCUGAGGAACACUGUCGCGAGGCAAAGCAAGCAGAGCAAGAAAAGGAGAAGCAAAAAUUAAUACACACGGUCACAGCCAAGAACAGAGCUCGUGACCUGUCUAGGGUGUGAGCAAGGAGCUACGGGCUGGAGUUAGUCUGACCUGCUUCUAGUCCUGGGCUCCCACACUCCCUUGCUCUGCCUAUGGAAAUUGUGGAUGCUGUCAGGGAUUAGGGUGACUGUGGCGGUUUUUCUUCUUAGUAACUGAUUCACUCCCAAAAGUUACAUGAUU